UACAGAGGGUGCAAGCGUUAAUCGGAAUUACUGGGCGUAAAGGGUGCGUAGGUGGUUAUUUAAGUCAGAUGUGAAAGCCCCGGGCUUAACCUGGGAACUGCAUUUGAAACUAGAUAGCUAGAGUGUGGUAGAGGGAAGUGGAAUUUCCGGUGUAGCGGUGAAAUGCGUAGAUAUCGGAAGGAACACCAGUGGCGAAGGCGACUUCCUGGACCAUAACUGACACUGAGGCACGAAAGCGUGGGGAGCAAACAGG
rnacentral:rRNA from 1 species